rnacentral:rRNA from 1 species
GCGGAGGGAUCAUUAAAGAGUUCUAUAACUCCCAAACCCAUGUGAACAUACCUAACGUUGCCUCGGCAGGUCGCACCUACCUUGUAGCACCCUACCCUGUAGGGCCUACCCGGGAGGUGCGGGUAAGCCUGCCGGCGGCCCACCAAACUCUGUUUGAUAUUGAAUUCUGAACCUAUAACUAAAUAAGUUAAAACUUUCAACAACGGAUCUCUUGGUUCUGGCAUCGAUGAAGAACGCAGCGAAAUGCGAUAAGUAAUGUGAAUUGCAGAAUUCAGUGAAUCAUCGAAUCUUUGAACGCAUAUUGCGCCCAUUAGUAUUCUAGUGGGCAGGACCGUUCGAGCGUCAUUUCAACCCUUAAGCCUUCGUUGCUUAGUGUUGGGAGCCUACGGCAACGUAGCUCCUCAAAGUUAGUGGCGGAGUUGGUUCACACUCUAGACGUAGUAAUUUUUUAUCUCGCCUAUUAGUUGGACUAAUCCCCUGCCGUAAAACCCCCAAUUUAUCAAGGUUGACCUCGAAUCGGUUCAGACAAACUCGCUAAAUUGAAGCAUCUUAGUCAGCGAAGGAAAAGAAACCAACAGGGAUUGCCCUAGUAACGGCGAGUGAAGCGGCAACAGCUCAAAUUUGAAAUCUGGCCCUCGGGUCCGAGUUGUAAUUUGUAGAGGAUGCUUUUGGCGCGGUGCCUUCCGAGUUCCCUGGAACGGGACGCCUUAGAGGGUGAGAGCCCCGUACGGUUGGACACCAAGCCUCUGUAAAGCUCCUUCGACGAGUCGAGUAGCUUGGGAAUGCUGCUCUAAA